CGCUGAACUUAAGCAUAUCAUUAAGCGGAGGAAAAGAAACUAACAAGGAUUCCCCCAGUAACGGCGAGUGAAGCGGGAAGAGCUCAAGCUUAAAAUCUCCAUACCUGUAUGGCGAAUUGUAGUCUAUUGAGGCUGUUGUCAGCAUCGCGAUUGGGGACAAGUCCCUUGGAAAAGGGCAGCAUGGAGGGUGAUACUCCCGUCUCUGCUCCAAUUUGCGGUGUGUACGAUACGCUUUCUUUGAGUCGAGUUGUUUGGGAAUACAGCUCAAAGUAGGUGGUAAAUUCCAUCUAAAGCUAAAUAUUGGUGCGAGACCGAUAGCGAACAAGUACCGUGAGGGAAAGAUGAAAAGAACUUUGAAAAGAGAGUUAAAGAGUACCUGAAACUGUUGAAAGGGAACCGUAUCGUUUCCAGUGUUGUAUCCUAUGCAUAUUUCAUUCGCGGAGCAAUUUGCGGGUGCCCUGUGCAUGGGUGUGACGUCAGAGUCAGUUUGUAUGCUGCGGGAGAUGGUCAGUGAGGAGGUGCGUCACUUCGGUGAAAGUUAUAUCUCGCUGUCUAGUAGCCGUGGUUGAGACUGAGGUGCCUACAACAUGCCUUAAAGUUCCGUGUUGCCUCGUGUUGAUGACUGCUUUGAUAGCUUGCUAUGUCUGUGGUUUAUGAAUGCGAUUGGUGAUGCGGAGAACUUUUGCUGUUCGGGACUCUGGCGAAAUGGAGCGAUACGACCCGUCUUGAAACACGGACCAAGGAGUCUAACAUGUGUGCAAGUAUUAGGGCGUGGAAACCCAAAUGCGUAAUGAAAGUAAAUGCUGCUUAUGCAGCUGUGGUAGGAAAGGGCUGUCAAGGUCCUGGCACUAUCGACCGAUCAUGAGCCUACGGGCAAAAGAUUUGAGUAUGAGCAUAUAUGUUGGUACCCGAAAGAUGGUGAACUAUGCCUGAAUAGGGUGAAGCCAGGGGAAACUCUGGUGGAAGCUCGUAGCGAUUCUGACGUGCAAAUCGAUCGUCAAAUUUGGGUAUAGGGGCGAAAGACUAAUCGAACCAUCUAGUAGCUGGUUCCCUCCGAAAUUUCCCUCAGGAUAGCAGCAACUUUUUACGAUAGUUUUAUGAGGUAAAGCGAAUGAUUAGAGGCCUCGGGGAAGAAACUUCCUCGACCUAUUCUCAAACUUUAAAUGGGUAAGACCUGUGGGUUUCUUAAUUGAACCUGUGGACGUGAAUAUCCAAGUUGUUAGUGGGCCAUACCGGGUAAGCUGGUCUGGCG
rnacentral:rRNA from 1 species